CAGUCGUACCGGCGGAUAAUCAGCCUUUUGCGUGUGAUUAUGUGGAUUGUGAGGAGUUUAAUCACCCUCAUGUUUUACGUAUUCGUGCUCUUGGGUGUACUUGCCCGUGUGGUAGGUUAACAUCAAUUUUGGUCGUCAUAAAAUGAUUGGAGGAAUGUAGCUUUGGUCUCGUAUCGAAGUGUUAUAGACUCUGGUAGAUGUGACGAUUGGGGACUGGAGGAUUGCAACGGAUACCCCGUUGGGGGCUACCCGUCUGAUCUCUG
rnacentral:rRNA from 1 species